AUAGGCCUUGAGACAUGACUUGGAUAUUAAAUAAGCCGGCACCUCAUCUGCAGACAGCUGUUUCGGGGUGAUUGCCCCUCAUCAGUGCAGAGCAGAGAGCACUGGCUUAACUGGUUAAGAGGCCAAUAUCCAAGUCAUGUCUCAAGGCUUAUUUUAAGAGCUGAACAUUGACUUAUAGGAGAGCUGCCUUACAUCUGGUGGCAUCAGAGGCAGAGCUUGUUAAGAGCUCAUUUGCAUCCCUUCCCUCCCAAAAUUCCAGAGGAGCAUGUAUGGCCUAUAAGUCUCCUCACUGAUUAAGGUGCUCUCUCCCUAAGGAGAGUUAGUUCCCCCCAGGGAUGAUCCUUGUAUGGAGAAAGCAUUUUAUUAUUUAUUUCCUACAGAGUUGGAAAAAUGUUGGGAGUUGUAGUUCAACCUACAAUAACAUUCUGUACUUUUCUCCUCUGAUAUAUAAAUGUUUGGACAUUGUGGGAGUUGUAGUUCUCUCCUCUGAUAUACUAUUGUCUGGACAUGCUGGGUGUUGUAGUUUUUUUGAUAUAACAGUCUGUACAAGCUGUGAAAUGUAAUUGUUCCCGGGAAUGCAGGUCUGAAGAGGAAGCCCCUGAUGGUGAAUUCAGGAUAAACUGUUUUCCUCCUCUGAGGAGGAGAAGAAUAAAGAGGGGAAUAUUCAUUCUAAGGAAAGAAAGUAACAAAAAAAUUGUUACUGUCCGACUGGUUGGGGGACCAGGAUGAUGACCAGGGGGUCUCCACCUGUAGGGUUCUAGGGCCUUCAAAGUUGCAGAAUGCAAACAUCCUGGAAAUGAUCCAAUUCAGUCCGGAUUCACUAUAGACCGCCUCUCCUUACUGAACAGGUCUUCUUCUGCCUAAUGUGGGAAGCUGUUCUGGUCUGGGUUGGGGACCUUCACCUCUACUCAGGAGCUGCUGUACUUGAGAGAAUAAGGCCAGAAAGUCAUCUGCUCAGUUUUCUUCUGUGGAAGUGUAGACGUCAUCAGAUCUUUCAUCUGCAUAAAGUGAGUCAUCUAUUGAGGUGAAUAUGUCUGUCCUCAUCGGAGCACAAAGUACUCAGCUUCAGGCCUGUAUAACUUAAGUCGUGGCUAACACAAUGGUCAUGUACCAAACUUUGUGGCUAUUCUGCUUGUGCUGCUGUAGAUAGGGUUCCCAACCCCGUAGUCAUCAAAAACAUAGAUCACAGCAAUGAUUUCUUUUAGGAAUAUUUUAUUUCCAAAUAGAUAUGCGGCAAGAGAUCUGGAAAGGGAAGCAAGAAAACUUCAAAAUUAUGAGCUACACAGCAUAACCUUUGCUGAAUAUAUAAAAACACAACGUAUACCACGAGGAUUACGUAUGAGAAUACGCCCGACCUUUUUCAAAGAUAACGCAGAAUUCUGCACACAUUUCGAACAUAUUUUAAACAAAUGUUCAUUUGAUCUUAUGACACUAACUCUGAAAUAUCUACAGACAACAAUUACAGAAACCAAGACCAAAAUCCGUUCCAUUGAAGUACAACUUCAGGACAUCAUCUCCACAGAUGAAUAUAAGAAACUACAGGACAAGCUUUCCACGACUUUGACCAUGGCCAGAAAAGACAUAGAAAUCACCAAAAGGAAAAAGUACCUAAGAGAUUGUGAUGAUUAUAGGAACAAUAACGUGUACAACUGGACAGAGAGAAAUCAACCGACAAGGAGAUCCUCAUCAAUUGAUUCCCAACGAUCCACGUCUAGCGGAGAACACCGUCAAUAUCCAAACCGUAACCAACGCAGAACCCGAGGCAUCAAUCAAGGACAUCGAGGUGGGGAGACUACGGGUCAUCAGACAUCCACUAUGACAACUCGCUCUCAGGCUCCAUGAACACUACACCCAGUGCCGCAGGGGAUAUCCUACACCAUUGUGAUUUAUAUGACCUGCAACUGAAUAAUCAAAGGACGGCGAAACUUUUAUUUAUUUAAUUUUACUCUUUUUCUUUUUCUUUUGACAUAUGUAUGUACAUUAUGAAGAUUUUCCUAUAAUCAAUGAUGUAAAUUGACUGGAAAUUAAUUGUUACUGAAAUUAUCUUAUUGUAAUUCCUAUAG